GCUGUGAGGGCUGCCAGCACGCUGUCACCUUUCAUUAGGACCUGCUAAUUGGUUUCACAUGUGUGUGGAACCAUCCCAGGACUGGAUUCCAAUAUGAGGAGAGAAAUGGGUUAUUUCACUGAAAGGUAUGACUGAGUUAGACUGAAGAAACUCUUAUAUGACACUGUACUAUGGCUUUAAUGAGCAUUAGUGUUAGGAUGACAUUUUGUUUAGAGAGAUAUUGAUGGUAAAAAAGAAAAGGAUUUGAACUCCAGUUCACCAUUUCCUAAGCAUGACCUUGAGCUAUUCAUUCACUCUAUGUAGUCAUUUAAUAAAUAUUUAUUGAGCCCUAUAUAGGCCAAGCACUCUGUGAGGUGAUGGAAAUUCUCCUGCCCUCAAAAAGUAACAGUAAUUAUUAUUUGCAAUCUACCUCCCUAAGGCAUAACAAUGCCUAUCUUUCAGAGUUAUGUGUAAUAGGAUUUGUAAGUGGAUUUUUUUUUGUCUCAUAAUUGUCUACUUGGCUCCAAAGUUAGAGACAAAUAGGUGAAAAUUAGGAGACAAAUAGAUGAUUGGUAAACACCAGUCAUUAAGAGGCAAAUUCAUUCUGCUACUCCGCUUACCACUGUACUCACUAAUCUUGAGGGGACUACUGAAUUGUAAAUCUUCAGCCUCAGAAAGGGUUCUGUGUCUUUUCCUUUUACUCUUUCUCAGUGCCCCUUAUGCAUAAUCCAAUGGAGUAUUCCAAGGAAAAUAUUUUUAAUGACUGGGGGUUGCCUGCAAUAAGUUGAGCCUGAAAUCUCAUUUUUCAGUUGGAUACCUACUCAUGUCAUGGAUCUGUAGUAUUCUUUUUGCUUACUCCAGCAGUAGGAAAUAAUAUAGGGACAGAACUCAAGAGAGAGAAAAUGAGCAAUAGGGCAAUGAGGCACACUCCCAUUGUCUGGUAGAAAAAAGAUGCAUGAGUCUUCCAUAUGUCAAGUAGAUACUACAAAGGUACCAGGCUUGAACUAUUGUGAAGCAAGUUCAUCCUAGACUGUGACUUACUAAGAGAAGAGACCCCAGCAGCAAAAGCCUGUAAGGUGAGUUAUGCAGGAAAUAAGGAGACUGGAAGAGGUCUACAGGAGUCGAUUUCCUAUGAAAGGAGGUUGUGCAAUGAAGAGACUGCCUGCUACAUGGAGGACAGAGGUCACAACAACAACUGCCUAAAAAGUUCACAAAAUUGGC
rnacentral:lncRNA from 10 species